GUUGAAACACUGUUUCUCCUCUGAUCACUGAAGUUAAACAACGUCAAGCCUGGUCAGUACCUAGAUGGGUAACUUUCUGGGAAUACCAGA